UUCGUCUCUUGAAGAAAAUGGCUGAAGCUUAUAGCUUAGUUCCUGAGUUUGAGAUAACAUUGGAAGGUACUCAUCAUGGACCAAUAACUAGUAAGCCGACCAUGUUUUUGGAGAAUGGUAGUACAGAGGAAUACUGGAAGAGACAAGACGCAGCUCAA